rnacentral:rRNA from 1 species
UACAGAGGGUGCGAGCGUUAAUCGGAAUUACUGGGCGUAAAGCGCGCGUAGGCGGCUUUGCAAGUCGGGUGUGAAAUCCCCAGGCUUAACCUGGGAACUGCAUUCGAGACUGCAUUGCUAGAGUAUGGGAGAGGGAAGUGGAAUUUCCGGUGUAGCGGUGAAAUGCGUAGAUAUCUGGAGGAACACCGGUGGCGAAGGCGGCAUCCUGGACCGAUAUUGACGCUGAUGCGCGAAAGCCAGGGGAGCAAACGGG